GGCGGCAGGCUUAACACAUGCAAGUCGAACGGGCGUAGCAAUACGUCAGUGGCAGACGGGUGAGUAACGCGUGGGAACGUACCUUUUGGUUCGGAACAACACAGGGAAACUUGUGCUAAUACCGGAUAAGCCCUUACGGGGAAAGAUUUAUCGCCGAAAGAUCGGCCCGCGUCUGAUUAGCUAGUUGGUGAGGUAACGGCUCACCAAGGCGACGAUCAGUAGCUGGUCUGAGAGGAUGAUCAGCCACAUUGGGACUGAGACACGGCCCAAACUCCUACGGGAGGCAGCAGUGGGGAAUAUUGGACAAUGGGCGCAAGCCUGAUCCAGCCAUGCCGCGUGAGUGAUGAAGGCCCUAGGGUUGUAAAGCUCUUUUGUGCGGGAAGAUAAUGACGGUACCGCAAGAAUAAGCCCCGGCUAACUUCGUGCCAGCAGCCGCGGUAAUACGAAGGGGGCUAGCGUUGCUCGGAAUCACUGGGCGUAAAGGGUGCGUAGGCGGGUCUUUAAGUCAGAGGUGAAAUCCUGGAGCUCAACUCCAGAACUGCCUUUGAUACUGAGGAUCUUGAGUUCGGGAGAGGUGAGUGGAACUGCGAGUGUAGAGGUGAAAUUCGUAGAUAUUCGCAAGAACACCAGUGGCGAAGGCGGCUCACUGGCCCGAUACUGAACGCUGAGGCACGAAA
rnacentral:rRNA from 1 species